CAGUCGCCGCGGGAAUACAGAGGGUGCGAGCGUUAAUCGGAUUUACUGGGCGUAAAGCGUGCGUAGGCGGCUUCUUAAGUCGGAUGUGAAAUCCCCGGGCUCAACCUGGGAACUGCAUUUGUGACUGUAUAGCUAGAGUACGGCAGAGGGGGAUGGAAUUCCGCGUGUAGCAGUGAAAUGCGUAGAUAUGCGGAGGAACACCGAUGGCGAAGGCAAUCCCCUGGGCCUGUACUGACGCUCAUGCACGAAAGCGUGGGGAGCAAACAGGAUUAGAUACCCGAGUAGUCCCUGUCUCUUAUAA
rnacentral:rRNA from 1 species